UACGUAGGGUGCAAGCGUUGUCCGGAAUUAUUGGGCGUAAAGAGCUCGUAGGCGGUUCGUCACGUCGGCUGUGAAAUCCCGAGGCUCAACCUCGGGUCUGCAGUCGAUACGGGCGGACUGGAGUACUGCAGGGGAGACUGGAAUUCCUGGUGUAGCGGUGAAAUGCGCAGAUAUCAGGAGGAACACCGGUGGCGAAGGCGGGUCUCUGGGCCGAUACUGACGCUGAGGAGCGAAAGCGUGGGGAGCAAACGGG
rnacentral:rRNA from 1 species